rnacentral:rRNA from 1 species
CAACCUGCCCACCACUUGGGGAUAACCUUGCGAAAGUAAGACUAAUACCCAAUGAUAUCUCUAGAAGGCAUCUGAAAGAGAUUAAAGAUUUAUCGGUGAUGGAUGGGGAUGCGUCUGAUUAGCUUGUUGGCGGGGUAACGGCCCACCAAGGCAACGAUCAGUAGGGGUUCUGGGAGGAAGGUCCCCCACAUUGGAACUGAGACACGGUCCAAACUCCUACGGGAGGCAGCAGUGAGGAAUAUUGGUCAAUGGACGAGAGUCUGAACCAGCCAAGUAGCGUGCAGGAUGACGGCCCUAUGGGUUGUAAACUGCUUUUAUAAGGGAAUAAAGUGAGUCUCGUGAGACUUUUUGCAUGUACCUUAUGAAUAAGGACCGGCUAAUUCCGUGCCAGCAGCCGCGGUAAUACGGAAGGUCCGGGCGUUAUCCGGAUUUAUUGGGUUUAAAGGGAGCGUAGGCCGGAGAUUAAGCGUGUUGUGAAAUGUAGACGCUCAACGUCUGCACUGCAGCGCGAACUGGUUUCCUUGAGUACGCACAAAGUGGGCGGAAUUCGUGGUGUAGCGGUGAAAUGCUUAGAUAUCACGAAGAACUCCGAUUG